rnacentral:lncRNA from 1 species
AUGAGAACAGGAAAAGGAAAAAGCUGCAUAGCCUCUCUCCCUGUUGCAGUUCCUCCAAAGCAUCUGUUAAUAAUAAUGCAAAAGUGCAGAAGACAGGAAGAGAGGGAAGCAGUGAACAGGUUCCUGCCACACUCUCCUCUGAAUGUUUGCACAGUGUUGUUUUUACCAGGUGUCCUGGUGUCCUUAUAAAAGAGCCACUUGGUCAUGAGGAGUUGUGCUCUUUCCAUCUGUGACGUGCUUCAUCAGGAGCAGGUGUGAUGGCAGUCAGAUGAGUGCAGACAAGCCAGCAGGAGGGCACUUCAGCCCUCCUGGGAAGGAGUAAAAAAGUGAAUGAAGACAUGAGAGUAUCUGUAACAGAGCAGAGCCAAGAGGUAAGAAGCAGAAAAUGGUACACAAAGUGAAGGAUUUGGGAGAUUAUUGUUUGAG